UUCUCCCAUCUUUAAAAAUCCCCGUUUUCUCAAAAGAAAAGAUAAUGUGUCCCCAAGCGAAGCACUUUGUUCUUUGAGCUUUUUUUUUUUUUUUUUUUUUUUUUAUAGUUUAAAUUGUUGACACCAACGAUGAACAUUGAGUGGAAGUCCUUGGGAAAAGUGAAAAAUAAGUGGGUGGAGAAAGACAUGCCAGAUACUGAUUUUGCAAAUUCCUUUAAGAAUUGUGAUUUGAUUCUUCAGAAAAUUCAGCACAAAUGAGGCUGUUGUAUGAGAGACUCAUUGGCCUAUUUUCUGAAGUGUUGAAGCCUCAUCCUUCUCAGGAAGAGCAUCCAGAUCCUCAGUUUUCCUGCUACAAAUGGAGAAGAAUACAUGAAUCCUGGCCCUUGUCCUGGGAAAGAGAGUCUCUAAAGAUGGUCCACUCUGCUCCAUUCUGCUCUGUAUGUAUAUGCAGCUCCUCUCAUAAUGGAAACUACACUGCAUCUGUAACUACUUUGACUGAGAAGAUGUGGAAAAGUGACCUUCUGGGACUUCUGAGCAAGGUAAUAAAAAAGCCCUUCCCCUCACUAUGGAUAAGUUCUAGACUAUCCUGGUGGAGAGAGAAGCAAAGUAGACAGGUCCUAGAUGUGAAACACACCAUAAAAAAAGAAGCCACCCCAAAGAACUUUGAGAUACCAGAUGUUCAGCCAUCUGACAGCAUCUACCAUUUUGCUGCAGCUACAUGA
rnacentral:lncRNA from 9 species